rnacentral:rRNA from 1 species
UACGUAGGGGACGAGCGUUGUCCGGAAUUACUGGGCGUAAAGGGCGCGCAGGCUGUAGAUCAAGUCAGCUGUGAAAUGUCUGGGCUUAACCCGGGCAUGCGGCUGAAACUGAUGUACUGGAGUGCUGUAGAGGCAAGUGGAAUUCCCAGUGUAGCGGUGAAAUGCGUAGAUAUUGGGAAGAACACCGGUGGCGAAGGCGGCUUUCUGGCCAGUUACUGACGCUCAUGCGCGAGAGCUGGGUUAGCGAACCGGAUUA